UCUUACAUACCAUGUAGCGCGCGCGCACACACACACAACGCUACGUUGCCAGGUUACUAUGGUUGUGGACGUUCUCAUCUUAUCUGGAGAAUGAGUUCUCUGUUAGCUCUGUCGGGGACUCUGCAGCCUUCGAAGUCUACCUCGGCAUGCAUCCUUCAAAUUCCACGAAGGCCGAACCGAGCGGUCUCCGAAAUGACACGAAAUGCUGGUGUUUAUCUGGAUUGUGUUGCUGAGCUUGGAUACUGCUGCUGUAAUGUAAUGAAGUCUCCAAGGCAGUCGACAAGCGCUUUAGGAUAUCUUCACAACAGAGAAGAAAAGAGGAGAAAAAGGUGGAGGGGAAACAGGAGAGGAGAAAGAGCGAGAGAGAAACACCAUUUCUUAUCCGUGACCCCAGCUUGUAUCAUCGAAAUAGGAAUCGACAACACGUUUCUUUAAAACUAGCACAAUGUUUUUUUUUUAAAUCUGUUCAAACAAUUGAAACUCUUGAUUUACUCUAAAAACGCCACAGGCAUAAAGGAAUAUAACAAAAGUUUUUUCAGGUUUUUUUUCCCCUCUCAUUUCUAUUCAUUUAUGUUUCAUUUAUUUAUGAGGUCUGCAUUGUUACCAAGUAAUGAUAUGGUUUUGCAGCUGUAUGAGCUUCAACUUUGGGUUUUUUAUUUUCCUGUUCUCUUGUGCCCAUUUGGUUUAGACUAGACCAGUAUCAGCGCUGUGACUGAUGCUCUUAUCGUGCUGUAAGAGGUAGAGUGAGACUUGUUUGCCACAGAGGAAUUUGUAGCAAAACACACAUAGAGGAGGGAAGAAAGAAAAAAAAAAUGGAGCUUCUCAAAGAACCAUUGAGCGAUAAUGUUUGUCUCCUUUUUUUUUUUAAAACCCAGGUUUUGCCCUGCAGUGAUGAACACACGUUAUUUAUUGUAUACUUUCAAAUACACUAGUGUUAAAACAGCUUGGCUGUCUUCACAGCUUCUGAGGAGUCGCUAGUAGGGUGUCAGACACCUUUUUGGAUUGUUUAACCCUUUAGAGUCAAGAAUGCAGGUGUGUAUUUUAUUUAGACAAGAAGGGAGAUAUGAGGAAGUACAGAGGGAGCAAACAGCCCAGAACCCUUGUGGGCCUCUACUUGUUCCUUGAGGUCAGAAUUUGUAACGCGCUUCUGUGUAGCACCAAGGUGUUUGGGGUGUAGAGCCUUUGUGUGCGUCGUCAGGAUAAGUGCUUUCUUACUGCGAAUGAGAGGUUUGUUUGAUUUACGUUGAAGGUUUACAACAAAAGCUGCGACUGAUUAUCUAUCCCAACAGCAAAAAUGACAUACUUUGAAAUAAAUAAAUAAAAACAACAACUGUAAAUGGCCUGGUGUGAAAGCCUAGUCUCACAUUCACCUCUUUUAAGAAUAAAGAACUUAACUGCUUAAAGCUGAAAUGGACACUUAGUCUGGCAUUUGUGUAAUGCAAAAAUGCACUAACAAGAUCAAAAAAUAUCUCAAAGUUUUUCUUCCGAAAUGACCAUAGAAGUCAUCAGUGUUCAUUAUAGUUAUUAUUGCUCCAUUAAAAUGUAACACUGCUGUAACUCAUUGUGUUGAAUUGACACCUGCUCAUUUCACAAUAUAAGAUGAGUGCCAUUUGUUUCCAGAAAGGAUUAAAAUAAAUGACUUUUAUGACACUGAAGUUAGUUUUCUUCCAUAAAUGUGUGAAAUAAACAACCAAAUAUAUGUGUGAACAAACCUCUUUUGAAAAUCGUUUAAAUCAGGAUUUUGGUCCUUGGUGUCAGUCUUUGGCUGUUUUUGGUGUGUGUUUUUUUUGUUUAUCUCUUGUGUUAAUACUGUGUGUUACCUGGUGCUUUGCAGUGUUAAAGCUGUCAAUCGUAGUCUACACCUCUGCAUUUGGAAAGUUAGUUUGUUAGAAUAUUUUUUUUGUAUUUUUUGUACUUUUUUUGGUUGUUUUUGAGUUUUUCUAAAAAAUAACAAAUAUUUAACAAACGUUCAGUAAUGUGCAUGCACUGUCUGUAACUAUUAAAAAAAAAUUGUUAUGGCCGCUUUUGUUAUGUUGAGAAAAAAAAAGAAGUCUUUGAUGAUUUUACAUUUUUCCA